rnacentral:rRNA from 1 species
GUCUUUUUGAGUAUAAUAUAAGGUUUAACCUGCCCACUGAUUAUAAAUUAAAGGGCCGCAGUAUUUUGACUGUGCAAAGGUAGCAUAAUCAUUAGUUUUUUAAUUGAGGACUUGUAUGAAUGGUUGGACGAAGUAUUAACUGUCUCUAUUUAAUAAUUAAUUAAAUUUAAUUUUUAAAUAAAAAAGUUUAAAUUUAAUUAAAAGACGAGAAGACCCUAUAGAUCUUUAUAUUUUAAAUAAUAAAAAUUUAUUAGAAUUAUAAUAUUUAUUAUUAUUUAAAUUAUUUUAUUGGGGUGAUAUAAAAAUUUAUAUAACUUUUUAUUUUAAAAAUCAUUAAUUUAUGAAUAUAUGAUCCAAUUUUAUUGAUUAAAAGAUUAAGUUACCUUAGGGAUAACAGCGUAAUUUUAUUGGAGAGUUCAUAUCGAUAAUAAAGAUUGCGACCUCGAUGUUGAAUUAAGAGUAAUUUUAGGUGUAGAAGUUUAAAAUUUUAGUCUGUUCGACUAUUAAAUU